GCAGGGUGGAAUGGCACUAGAAAAUAAAAAUUAUAGGUCGUGCCACAGAAAGACAAUAAAAAGAUUUUUUUCAUAUUUUUUUAUUGUCUUUCUGUGGCGCAACCUAUAAUUUUUAUUUUCUAGAUCCAUUCUUUUUUGAC